AGUGAACGCUGGCGGUAGGCCUAACACAUGCAAGUCGAACGGCAGCACAGUAAGAGCUUGCUCUUACGGGUGGCGAGUGGCGGACGGGUGAGGAAUACAUCGGGAUCUACUUUUUCGUGGGGGAUAACGUAGGGAAACUUACGCUAAUACCGCAUACGACCUACGGGUGAAAGCAGGGGAUCUUCGGACCUUGCGCGAUUGAAUGAGCCGAUGUCGGAUUAGCUAGUUGGCGGGGUAAAGGCCCACCAAGGCGACGAUCCGUAGCUGGUCUGAGAGGAUGAUCGGCCACACUGGAACUGAGACACGGUCCAGACUCCUACGGGAGGCAGCAGUGGGGAAUAUUGGACAAAGGGCGCAAGCCUGAUCCAGCCAUACCGCGUGGGUGAAGAAGGCCUUCGGGUUGUAAAGCCCUUUUGUUGGGAAAGAAAAGCAGCAGGUUAAUACCCCGCUGUUCUGACGGUACCCAAAGAAUAAGCACCGGCUAACUUCGUG
rnacentral:rRNA from 1 species